GGUUACUCAUACUGAUCAAUCAAGAAAGUUAGAGUGAAGACUUUAAAAAAGUGUUUAUUUUAGAAUAUGUACACCUAUCACGCUUAAAGUUACAGAAUUCUAUUUGAAAUUGACGUAGGUUUUACAAUUAAUUUACGCACAUGACAAAAGUGUAAUGGUAAUGGUCUUGAAUAGGAAGUGAAACUUCUGACUUUUGUCGUUUUGUCGAAGUUCCGCAUUCUUUAAAAAAGAAAUAGUCAGUGUUUACUUGUUACAAGUAGGUAUCGGGUUUGGUCGCUCCCAAGACACGUUUUUACCUUACACGUUCUUACCCACACGUAUGAUCAUGGGUUUGUGUGCACCUUAUUUUAUACAAAUACUGACUGAACAUGUUGUCUUGUUGUACAUGUAGACAUGUACAAAAAUGUACGGAAAGUGAUUUUUUUUUUAAUCGACUGAUUUUAUUAAGGUCAACUAAGAAAAACUUUACCUCAUUUUAAAGGCAUUGUGAAGACAUUUUCAAAACAGUUUCACUUUUAUUAAUACACAUAAUAACAACGAAGUUUUUACUAUUCUGGAAAAACUGUUCUUUUUAUAAAAAAUAAUAAAAUAAUUUUUUUAAUCAUUUGGUGUUAUAGUUUUGUUUAUAUGUUUCUUUUACAUCUUGUUUAGUUUACAAUUUCAAUCCUCCAUAAUUAAGUUUUUUUGGUCAAAAUAGAAGCAUAAAGCAUGAAAAUGUCAACCACUCUCAUGAAAUUCUAUCGUCCAAAGUCACAUAACAUGAAGAUACCUUUAUAUAUUCCUUAUUUCAGAGCAUCAGUUGGUAUAUUGAAAAUGGAAAGUAAAACUUUAUAAACAUUUGAAUGUAAAGAAACAAAUAUAGAUAUGAAUAUUACUCUUUAUAUAAUGUAUAGGUUUGUGUGUGUGUAUAAAAAGGAAGAUGUAUGAUUGGCAAUGAGACAACUCUCCACUAGAGACCAAAUGACACAGAAAUUAUCAACUAUAGGUCACUGUACGGCCUUCAACAAUGAGCAAAGCAAUACCGCAUAGUCAUCUAUAAAAGGCCCCGAAAUGACUUGUAAAACAAUUCAAACAAGAAAACUAACGGCCCUAUUUAUGUACAAACAAUGAACGAAAUACAAAUAUAUAUACAUGUAUGUAACACAUAGACAAACAACAACCACUAUAUACAGGCUCCUGUUAAGUUUGUCUCAACUAUAUUUAAUGAAAUGCAUAUAUAGAUAUAUAUAUAUCUAUAUAUACUGCUUUAUAUUAACACUUAACUGAGUUAAGGUUCAAAUUUUGGGAGUGUCACUUUUACAGUUCUUGAGUUAUGUCCCUUUAUAAUGUUAUAUGCUAGCGAAGGCAUCAUCUGUGUGCCUAGAGUUACAUGUAUGGUCCUUUGAAUUAGAAAAUUCACUCAAAUAAUCAGUUUUCUACACUUUUAUUCGUCAUGGUAGAAGAUAUUGAUUUGACAAAUUAUCAUAAUUGUUUUAUAGCUUUAUCAUGAAAAGUUACAGAUAGGGAUCGAAUUUUGUUCUGAUCUGAUGAUUUUGUGCAAAGCUACAUAUGGUCCUUGAACUUAAAAAAUUCUAUCAAAUAAACAGUUUUUUGCACUUUUAUUUGUCAUGCUUGAAGAUACAUGUAUUGAUUUGAAAAAUGGUAUUAUUAGUUACACAGUGUGCAAUUGUCCUAAUACGAGAAUUUAUUGACCCGAUAAAUUCCGUAUUAGGACAAUUGAACACUGUGUAACGAAUUUAUCCUGAUUUUGUUAUAUUACAUAUUAUUAUAUUCAAAUUCAAUGUUAGGACAAUAUCAAUAAAUAUAUUUUAGAUAUUAAAUAAAAAAAUGUGAAAAAUAAAAAAUAUUAUGACUUCAAAGCAACUCAAUUGUUUUUUGGUUUUUUUUAUUAGAUAAUUCCAAUUGACGUAAUAAAUAAGGGAGAUAAUUCCAAUUGACGUGAUAAAAAAUUGUACUGAAAUUUAUUAGGACAAUAUCAGCCAAUCAAAUUGCGAGAAAUUACUCUAAAUCAGGAUAAAUAGUUUUAUCAUGGCAAGUUACAGAUAAAAAUAAAAUUUUGUUAUUUUAUAGUCCUUGGACUUACCAAAAAAGAAAAUUCACACAAAUAAUCAGUUUUCAACACUUUUUUCGUCAUGCUUGAAGAUAAUGACUUAAUGUUUGUUACAAAAUGUACAUGCAUAAUAUAGUUUACACAAUAACAAGUUAUACAUGUAGAUCAAGUUAGACUUUUGUUCAAAUACAAUGAAUUUUUAAACGGUAGGGGACUAUGUUAAUAUAUUGCCAUGAAUACUCACAGAAUACUGGUUAUCAAUAAAAAUGUUAUAUGAUGAUUCAUUUACAGGCAAGAACAUUGUUAAGUAGAUAGCUUUUUAAAAUAAUUUUAUUUCAAGAAUUAACUUAGAUCAUAUAUAAAUUUACUAGUAAAAAUAAGGAUGUGCUUUCCUGUUUGUUAUAAGUUUUCUGCAGAUACAGUAAAACUACCAAACUUAAUUUUGGUAUCAGUGAAAGAAUCUAGUUUCUAAGAAUAAUAUUAUUUGUGAUAAUGAAAUCCUGGAUUGUAUAUAAUGCUGUUAUUUUUCUCUCCAAAUUAAAAAAAAACCUGUCAGUUAAGGAUUGAUUAACUUAAAACAUGGCUUCAGUUGGAGACAUUUAGGUUUUCAUUAAGAACAGAGGAAACAGUUUAUGUUUGUAGACCAAUCAAAAUAUUCCUAAAGUUAAAUACAGGAUCAUACUAAAAUUUUUUAAAUUUUCGCAAUUUUCAUUGAAUAAGGUACUGUGAAAGUACUUUAAUUCGUGGGUAUCAAGUUUCGUAGUUUGAGCAACAUUAACAUGUUUGAGGGUUUUAGAUUUCUAAAAAAAAAAUGAAAAAAAAAUUGAAGCCAUUAAAAAACGAAGGUUACAAACUGUCUGGAUUGAAGGCACUUGCAAAGUAAACAUUGACCGUGUAAAUUGUAGUGACCACACUUAUUAACCCGAGUUAUUGUAGUUCAUAGUGCAUUUCCCAUGUGACUACUAUCAUAGUAUUCUCAAAUUUGGCGAUAUUCAAUAUAUUCUCUAGAUCAUAUCAGUAGUCAAACCUACACGGGGAUCUUUCAAAGUCUUGAUUUGGACAAAGGUUGUUUUAUUUCGUUUGACACUUAAAUUCGCGGAUAGAGUCAUCCACGAAAACCACCAAAAUUGGUUCCCCACGAAUAAAAGAACUUACAGUAUACGAAAUAUUUUGACGGUUAUUAUUUUGGUUGAUUCAAAACUUUUAUUCAUACCUGUGCAUGUUUACUUUUUAAUUGACACAAUUUAUUUUGGCAAUUUUGUUCUUUCCGCUAAGAUAAGCGAAAAUUUACACCCCACGAAAAUAACCCGCUAUACUUAUAUACGGUAUCAUGUUUUAAAAUCGAUAAAACAUUAUUUGUUGCUGAACAUUGACAUAAUAUUUUCUUUAGUAAUGUGCUUUAUUUUGUCAAUUUGUUGUAUUUCAUUUAGAAAUCAAUAGGUUUUAAUUCCUAAUGCUUAAUUGAUAACUUUUAAUUUGCAAUGCUUUAAUCAGACACUACAUUUAUCUUAUGACUUCUUAAAGGUCAGGAACAACAAUUUGAACUGUUUAAUUACUCUCCUGGGAGAUGAACAGAUUAGUAGGUCUAAUUUUAUUGUCUUUAUUACUGACAGAACAAAUUGGUACAAUUCCCUUCAGUUUGACUUGUUUUUAGAAUGUGAAUGGUAUAGACAGAAGUGGAGACUUGUAAAUAAAACUAUUUAAUAUUCAUAUUAGAAUAAGAAGAUUCAGUAUACUUGCCAAGGAUACAUCUCACCAACAGAGACCAAAUACCUUAAUUUUGGUCUAGCAUGCAAUGAAAAUUACCAAAUGUGAGUGAUAGGUAUUUUGGCUAUCCAAGUGACAGUGACGCUGCUAACUAAUUGUAUAAUUAUACAUUUGUGUAUUUAUGAAGAAAGAAAAGUAGAAAUUAAAAACCAAUUCUUCAGAGAACAAUUGAAGGUCUUUCCAGCUCAAUAAUAAGAAUGAAAUUUAAAAAACGAUGUUAGAAAAUGUCACUCCUUGUUGAUGUAAUUUGGUUCUUCAAAUUGAUAUAAAAAACAAGAUUAAUAGGUAUAUGCAGAAGACUUAAUUGUUUUAUUAUGAGCAGAAAAUAAUUUUAAGCAAAGGUCAAAAUCUAGAACGUCAAAUUGACCUUUGACCUUGACCCCAAUUUCUAGGUCAUAGGUCAGUGAUCGCAAAUCAAAAGACCCCAGGUUAAUCAUUUGGAUGGUUGUUGAGAAAUACUGAUUUCAAAUACAUAAGGGGAGAAAACUCUUUGACCGAAAUAGGUUGAAGUUGCGCCUUUUUGUAAACAGUAAUUUGGCAAACAAAUAAUAUCAUUAACUGUAACAGCUUCUCUUGAAUAACGAUAACAAGCAAAAUUCAAAAUUAUAAACAUGACCUUGACCUCCGACCUUGAUCUCAAUUUCAAGGUCAUAGGUCAGUGAACUCAAAACCGAAGACCGGAGGUCAAUCACUUGUAUGGUUGUGGAGAAAUACUGAUUUGAAAUAAAUAAGGGGAGAAAACUCUUAUAAGGGUUAACCAAAACACAUUGAAUGAAAUAGGUUGAAGUUGUGCCUUAUUGUAAACAGUUAUUUGGCAAACACAUCAUAUCAUUUACUGUCACAGUUUCUGUGGAAUAAGGAUAACAAACAAAAUUUAAAAUUUAGAACAUGACCUUGACCUUUGACCUUGACCUCAAUUUCCUUCAAAUGGACCAAGGACUUCAUAUCAAACGACUGUAGGCGUCUAUGACUUAUAACGUAUGAAUUUAUCCAACAAAUCGCCCAUCUUAAAUUUUCAAAGGAAAAUAACUCCCAUAAUAUGUCUUAAGAUCACUCAAGUCAAAAUAAACUAAAUCAUUCUAAAGAGGAGACGAACAAUUUGGUGAAAACAGUUUGCUAAAAUCUUUUACGGUUUUAGAGAUAUAGCGAUAACAAAAAAAAGGGGACGCGGGGAGAUAACUCCUAUAAGAAUAAGUGUUUGGUCACACAGGGUGAGUUUUGAAACCACCAUUACUGUACAACAUCAUUGGCCAAAAAAUCCAUUCGAUAUGUUGUAAGACUAAAAAGCAUCUCAGAUGGCAGAAGAAAAAAAUAAUCAGAAGAAAAACAAAAGGUCUUUCCACGAAAAGUGGAAAGACCUAAUAAUCUUUAUUUUGAUGUAUUUCCCAUGUACAUGAUAAUAUUAGUGAGAAUUGAUAUCCUGCAGCUAAUACAGAUUUCACAGUUUGUGGUUUAUUAAAUUUUGAUAAAGUGAUUUCGUUGUCGUACAUUAAAUCUUAUAUAACUUGGAAAAUUACAAAGUAUGCUUAAUUAGUCAAUACAUUAGGGAUUUCAAAUCCCAGCAUUUAUGAUGACAGCACUGUCAGUGAUCCUGGUUUAAAUAUGAAAUAUAAAAUUUAAAAUGCCAAAUUAUAAGUACAUUUAAGUAUAGACAGGGUGCACACAUAUAAGAUCAUAUGUGUACAAAUCUCUUAAGCAAUAAUACUGAGUUACAUAUAAAUUAAUUAAAAACAAAAUAAAUGUUGUUACCUAUAAAAAUAAUAUUCAAAGAUCUUAUUUUUGUUUCUGCACUCUGACCUAAGUUUAUUUCAUCCAAAUUUUAUAAAACACCAACACAAUUUGACAAUGUCAUUAAGAACCACAACACAAUGACAAAUGUCGAACUUGAGCAUUGAGUCAUUUACUGUUAUUAUAAAGUUAAUAUAAAAAAGAAGAUGUGGUAUGAUUGCCAAUGAGACAACUAUCCACACAAGACCAAAAUGACACAGACAUUAACAACUAUAGGUCACCGUACGGCCUUCAACAAUGAGCAAAGCCCAUACCGCAUAGUGAGCUAUAAAAGGCCCCGAUAAGACAAUGUAAAACAAUUCAAACGAGAAUACUAACGGCCUUAUUUAUGUAAAAAAAUGAACGAAAAACAAAUAUGUAACACAUAAACAAACGACAACCACUGAAUUACAGGAUCCUGACUUGGGACAGGCACAUACAUAAAUAAUGUGGCGGGGUUAAACAUGUUAGCAGGAUCCCAACCCUCCCCUAACCUGGGACAGUGGUAUAACAGUACAACAUAAGAACGAACUAUAAAAAUCAGUUGAAAAAGGCUUAACUCAUCAGAUGGACAAAAAUAAGUCCCUUUUAACAUGAAAAAUUGCUAAGCUCGAGUAGGUGCAUUCAUAUCUUCAGAUACUAUUUUCUUUUAUUUAAGCUUAUCUUUAAACAUAAUAGUUAAUUAAUGUACUUGUUGUACUUCAAAGUAUCAUAGGCUAUUAAUUGCUAAAUAUAUAUAGAUUCUUCUACUGCAUCAAAUUUUAUACCAUAAUUAUCUACUCAAGACAAUUAAAUUUCCAAAUUUCAAAUUCAACUGUUGAGAGUGGGUAAUUAUAGUAUUACACGCGAUUUGGUGGUGGAAUCUGUUUCUCUAGAUCUGAUUUUUAGACAAUAUAUGCAGACAAUCUUAAUUCCUUCUUACUGAAAACCUGCAAAAGGAUGUGUUCUUUCUGUGAGACCUCAUCAGGCAUGGUCAUCUUAUUCAUGACGUCACAACAUGCACAAUAGGAAUAUCAGAGGAAAGCAAAAAAUGGAAUGUCAUAAUUAAUAUUGACAAAUGAAUAACUGAGAUCAAAUGCACCACACUUGGAUUAAAUAAAAAUAACCAAACAGGUCAGGAAAAUAAUAAAUUGAGUAAGAAUAAGAGAUAUACAAAUUUAUACAGACAUCCAUUUAGAGUCAUUUCUAGAGGAUUGACAUUUCAAUAUCUUUUUCCUGUUAUCCAAUAAUCCAAUUUAAGCAGAAUUCAAUAAAGUUUUGCCCAUUUCUGGUACCAUGUUUAUUUCUAAUUAGCUUAACUUUGUUUCAAUAAUCCAAACUUUGAUAAGAUGUAUUUUAUUGCAGUGUUUAGGUAAAAAAAAGUUUUAAUUAUUAUACAAUCAUAUUGCUAAAUGAAUGUUGGAAGUCUGAAAAUUAAAACCAGUAGUGUUAGAAUUAGAUUUCUAUGCUGACAAAUUAUUGUCACCCAACAGGAUUUUAACUCAAACCUUUGAUACACUAAAGCACCAAUCGCUUCGCCUUGUGUCCAGCCCUCUUGACCUUUCUAUGUCAUCCACUUAAAACUUUAACCAAUAUUAGGCCAAUAUAGAGAUAUACAUAAGACAUGUGUUUUGGAGUUUUAAAACUUUUCACAUCUCAAAAAUAAGGAAAACAAAAUGAGACAUUAUAAGGAUUGUAUAUUGACCACUAAAUGUCAUUUAGUUAUUUAUAUAUGCUACAUGUUUGUUGUUGAGCAGUUUUGUUUGGUAAAUAGUCCCUCUCAGACCUGCAAAGUUAAGUUAAUGACAAUUAUAUUUAUUUUCAACCUGUUUUGAAGGCACAUCAAUGGUGUUAUUACACAUGAUCCCUUUGCCAGUUUAGUUCUGUUUCUCAUUUAAUCACAUAGACAAUUGCAUGUUAUGUGAUAAAUAGUGUUAUGAUGAGCUUACAUAGACUGCACAAGAAUACCCUUUAAAGAGAUUGAUUAAAUAUCUUCAUUGAUCUAUGUUUCCAAAUGUAGAAUAUGAGCUGUCCCACACAGUAACUUUUAAUCAUGAGGAUUCUCCAUAUGUGAUGAACAUGUAGGAUUUUUAUUACUGAUUAUCAUUAAUCAUUCAUGAGACAUUUUUUUAAUACCUGAAACUUUGUUUAAUCCUAUAUUUUUGUAAAUAUUUGAUGAAAUGACUUAUAGUUCUGUGUGUUGAUUAUGUAAAAAGUAGUCUGAUCAUUAUAUUUCUUCUGGCAAUCUGGGAUUAAAGUUUUUCAUUGAAGAGAUCUUUUCUACACAUGUUAUUUUUAUACGCCUGUUUCUGGGACAUAUUAUUGUAUAUCAUUGUCUGUGAUCAGUCAGUCAUCAAUAUGUCAGACAAUAACUAAAAAAACACUACCAUUUGAUUUUUAUGUGGGGGGCUCACAGUCUGUGCUAAAAACUUUUUCAUGUACUAGUUUGGAAACUAAAUGUCAAAAUUUGUCCCUAUCAGACUUUAUAAAAUUAUCACUAGUCCGAAUCAAUAUUUACUAGUCUGGGGCAUCGUACUAGUGGCUAACGGUGCAGACUGGGCUCAAGGAUGAAAUUUGGAAAAAAGAUAGGACAGGAGUUUUGAUUAAAAUAAAAACUCAGGAUGACAAUUUAUGUAAAAAAAAAAGUCGGGAUAAACUGAAAAAAAUAGGCUGGACAGAAUAGAGUGAAAAAUUUAAAGGCAGGAUAGAAAUUUUCAACAACAAAAAAUACAGGACAAUAUUUUUCAUCCGAGCCCCUAUAAAAAUCCCUUAGGUGAAUUGUUUAUUUCUAUUCAUGUGAGCUCCCUUUUGAUUUUUAUAAAUUAUAGAAUUUACGGAGUUAUGGGAUUUUACUUAUAAAACAUGGAUAUCAUGAUUAUCCAGUUUUCAGACAAUAACUCAAAAGUGCAUAUAUAAGAUUCAGAUCUUUUUAAAGGGUAAAUAAAAUGAUUUCAUAUCUUUAAUGGAUUUAGCUGAUAUCAUAUUCAAUUAUUAUCAAUCACCAGUCAAAAAUGUCUAAUCAAAACAGUCCAUUACAUAUCAGUUAAUAUUAAACCACUUAAACAUGUUAGAGAAUUUGUUGAAUAAGUGUUCAAUUUGAAGUUAUGGUAGCUAGGGUUUCUGGCUAAUUAAUGCUUGGUAAUCAGUUUGAAUAAUUAAGGGUCACGCUUUCUAAUAACCCAAAUAAUUCAGUCCUUCUAUAUGUAAUCGAUCUUUCUUUCUUAUUAAUGUAGCCUGCCUAGAACAGAUAAAUAUAAUGACUGAAUUAUUUAGGUUAGGGUUGAAAGAUAAUUUGAAAAACUGAAUACUAUGUGAACUUUGUAUGAAAGAAUCAAUGAUGACAAAUGAAAUAUUUGCCACUGAACAUUAAGCAACUAACUAUCAAUCAAUGUUGUACUGUUAUACCACUGUCCCAGGUUAGGGGAAGUGUUGGGAUCCUGCUAACAUGUUUAACCCCACCACAUUUUCUAUGUAUGUGCCUGCCCGGAGUUAGGAGCCUGUAAUUCAGUGGUUGUCAUUUGGUUAUAUGUUACAUAUUUGUUUUUCGUUAAUUCUUUACAUUAAUUAGGCUGUUAGUUUUCUUGUUUGAAUUGUUUUACAUUGUCAUUUCGGAGCCGUUUAUAGCUGACAAAUCUGGGACAGUGGAAUAACAGUACAACAUAAGAAUGAACUAUAUAAAUCCGUUGAAAAAGGCUAAACUCAUCAGAUGGAUAAAAUACAAAUGGACUUUGACAGGUACUUGUACAUCCCAACAACAAAAAGACACUAGGUACAGAUUUGAGAGAACUCACAGUUAAUGACAGCUAGUUCAAAGCCACUAACAACUAAUAAAAAGAAUCAUGCAUCUAAGAAUAAAUAAUCAAUCCAUACACAUCCAACAUUCAAUGGAUUGAGUGUAAAGACGUCAUAAACAGUCAGAGAAAAACAUGACCUUGUGCAAUGUCAAGAUAGAGGUAACAACAGAUUGUAGAUCCAAUUAAGUGUAUAUGUAUUAUUAUAACAUACAAAUGAAAUAUAGAUGGCUUUUAAUUAACUGAUAAAAAAAUCAAUAUUUAUACCAAUAAAAAGAAUAUUGAAUGAUCUUAUUAAUAACAGUGUUGAAUUUGUAACUUUUUAGAAUAAGUUUAUUUAAAGGAUCGACAAGUUUACCAGGAUCGUUUCUUAAUUUUCUAUAUGAUAGUGUUUAAUAAGUUGGGAUAUGUUUUUAGCCAAUAGUUUUUGUGGUACUGAAUAAGAAUGCAUGAAAGACUGGAAAUAUUUCCAUUUAAUAGAAAGAAGAAAGAAUAUUAGGUAUCCAUCCAUAAAACAAAAUCAGUACAAAAAGCACACACAAAAUUGCUGUUCUUCACAGUUGCACAUUACAGAUACUAUUUGACCCUAGUAUGAGAGUGCCUUUUAUAAAUCAAGUAUUGUAGCAGGAUAUAUUCCUUAGUUUCAACUCUUCUUUUUCACCAAUAUUGAUUUGUAAUCUAUAUGUAUUUAUGUACAUAUUUUUUCAAAUACAUUCCUCCGUUUUAAAAGGCAAAGGGAUUUUGAGAACUUACAAUGUUUGUUGCUUUUAAAAAUGUUUAUUUUUACAAGAGAACCUUAUCAGAGUACAAUAGUUUACUUUUACAAAUUGUGACUUUAAUGGAGUUGUUUCAUUGGCACUUUAAUACUUUAUCUUCUUAUAUCUACUUAGUUUAUUAAAUCAUAUUUGAUCUCAUGACUGUGUUGUAAUCUUUUUAUUGUGUGAAGUUGCAAACAUUUAUUGACUUAUUUUUAAUGAUGUUGCUACCUAUAUUGGCAUUUCUCUGCAUACAUAUUGACUGUUUUAGGAAGAAGAACAUCCAGAUUAGGAUAUCUUCAAAGAUAUUUAUUCAAUUUAUAUUGGGAAUUGAUUGGUUGCCUUAAGUGAGAUGAUAAUGACUGUAAAAGAUAAUUGUGAUGUGGCAAAAGCAAUGUAGGUCUGAGAUAUUGGAUAUUUCCUUCAGAGUGACCCAGCAGUUCUCCUGUGUAUCAGGUUAUGUAUGAAUCUGUCAAUUGCACUAAGUAGUUUACAUUUGUCUUUAUCUGCAGAUGAUUGGUUGUACAGAAGAGGAAGCAUAAUUGUUUAACUGAAUAAAUGGAAUAUUUGUACUUGGAAUUACAGGUCAGUAGGUUUUCUUUUUAUGGAUCAUAGUUAUAUAAGAUCACAAAAAUUUAAGUUGAGUAAAAUUGUGAAUGGAAAUGGGGAAUGUGUCAAAGAAACAACAACCUGACCAAACGGAAUAAAAAAAAAAAAAAAAAAAACAUCAAUAAGUUUUCAACACAGUGAAAACAUCCCUUACCCAAAGGCAUGCUUCAGCUAGCCCCUAAACAAAAAUGUGUUUUUGAGUAUAAAAGUCAUGUCUUAUCACUGUACGUCAUAAAGAGUUUGAUUAGAAAUUUUUUGUCAAAUUAUUUCUGGGCUUAUAUGAGAGGGAACAAUUGUAUAUUUGGUCUGCAGCUUCAUAUUGCUGAAGCGUAACGGUUAAGCAAUUUUGAUAUCUGCCUUGCAGCUGCUUUCUAUUUGCUGAUGAUUAUAAAUUUUACAGCACUCUUUGUGAAAGAAAAACUUUGGUCACACUUUUUUUGGCCUCUAUAAAAGGGAAUUAUUUCAUAUUUGAUUUUCAGCUCCAUAAUGAUGAAUUCUAGAAUUAAAGCAAUUACCAUACAGCCACUUCCUAUUUGCCUAUAAAUUAAAAUUUUACAAACUCAUUGUUUACAGAAAAUUCUCGUCAAUAUUUCUUAGCUUUAAUGAUCAGUAAUGCUUCAAUAUACAUGUAUGUACAUGUCACUUCAAUUAAUUGCAUGCAGUGACACAUACACGGUGGGUAUGGUUGUCCUGCGAGAGAACGUACUGUGCUGGUGAUUCGGUCCUGACGGGUGCUGGUGAUCAAUGAAAAAAUGUAAACAAAGACGAAAAUGAUGAUUUUUGACGUUUUCACUCAUAAAAAAUGGAAGAAAAAAGUUGAGAUUUUUCAAUUUCGUUUCUUAUGGGUUCAUAUAUAAACCAUUAAAAAAUUGACCCUCUAAUCUGUUUCAGUAAGCGUAACACAAAAAUGCUCAUUUUCAGAAAAUCUCAAACUGAAAAAAUAAAACAAAAAUGCUCAUUGAGUCCGCUUUCGAUACCGCAAUCCACACGACAAAACAAUUUUGUGAAAAAACAUUGCAAUUUAUUAAAAUUUAGCCUUUUCUCAAUUUAUUCAUGUCCUGAUACUGUGCUGGUGGGUCCUGUCAUUGUGCUGGUGGGUCCUGAUACGGUGCUGGUGAUUUUGGAUAAGAAGCUGGUCAUAUUUGAAACAAAUGUUACAAAAUCAAUAAAGUUAGCCAGAUAAUUGUUGCCAACAGGAUCUAUAACUCCUAUUUUAGGUCUUGUGCAUCCAUUUGGCUGUUUAAUAUGUGUUUUCAAAUGAUCUGAACUUGUAUUACAUAAUAACAUAAAAGGGCAACAUCUUUCGUCCAAUAUCAGAUAACAAUAUAUAGUAUCUAAAAUAAGUUAAAAAUUCCACAAUACUAUAUAAUUCAUUUUAUGUGUCGAUUUGUUCGAAAAAAGUCGAAAAGAAGAGACUUUUUUUAAUGUCAUGAUUAUCUGUCGCUUUCUAGAUCUAUGCUUAGCAUUCAUUGCAGAUGACAUGGACUCCUCACCCUGAUGACCCUGCUGCCUUUCAUAACUUUAUCCGUAUACAUAUAUUAAUAGAUAAACAUAAGGCUGCAACACGUAUUUUUGUAUUUAAAAUGAUUCGUUGUAACGAGAAUAUUUGUGGUGAAUGGAAACUGUGAGGGUCACAAUCUUAAAUUGCUUAUAAAUGUUGCUAGACCCAGUUUCGUUAUCUGAUCUGAAUUUUCUAAAAUGUGCAAGGUAGAUAGACAUUUUGAUUUUUUUUUUUACUCGGUAAUGAACCAUUGUGUUGAUCCCAUGCUAAACAUGACAAAAAUCUCUGUACAAAGGUCUGUGAAUUCUCUACAAAAAUAGUGAUUUUAUUUUCACUAAAUUCUCUUUUUCUACUAAAUACAAUAAUGAACCAUAAAUAUAUAUAAUAAUGCUUUGCAAGAAGUUUCCCCUCGAUAUAUGUACAAAAUUCUAUCUCUAUUAUUCAUUGUCUGUACUGUUUUGAUACUAUUGCAGUUUGCACAUUUCGGAAUUAACAGGCCACAGGAGGGGUCAUAAACCGUACACGAAAAGAUAAAAUAUUGAUAUAAGAACUUAAUUUGCAUCUUUGAACCCCCACUCCGGCUUGUUUUUUUAGAAGCCUGUGGUGUAUGGGAACAAAAAUGUUUGAUAUAUCUGGCUUUAGAUUCAGGUUUUUUUUUAAAUAUAAAUUAAGGCUACAUUAUAAUAUAAUAAUUCUAUGAAUUCACAAUAUAAAAAAAUGCAGAAAAAAAAAUGAAUGAAGUGAAAAAUCUUCGUAAGGAGUCAUUACUACAGAGAUGGUGUGUUUGACACACAAAACUUAAAAGCUUAGUGAUAUUUCCAAUAUUAAAAUAAAAGUGUAUUUAGUUGGGUAUUUUUUCAUUUACCCUCAUUUUCAAUUAUAAUCAAGGCACAUUUUAUUCAUGAAAAAUAUUUAAAUAUAGAAAAGAAGGACACAUUGUUCACUUCCUCCCCCGUAAUUCUUUAUCAAAAAUAUUUAUUUUGAAAUGAAAAAGCUAAGAAAUCUUAAUUUUGUUAGUGUUCUCUAGGUUAUCUCGUGACGUCUUCAUUCUCUGACAUAUUCUAGCCUGCCCUUUCAAAAAAUAGUGAUUUUUUUAGUGUUCUAUCGAACUUUCGAAAAGAAAAAAAAAUACCUGAUAACCUUUUAGACAAAAAAAAAAUAUGUUGAAAAAUCUAACAGCAAGUGAUUCUUAACAGCUAUUAAGAUACAUUUUUCUUUUACAAUACAACUUUUAAAUCUUACGGGAAACUAUUACAAGCUUACUUGUAUACCUCGUCUAACUUAUCCCCAUCCCCCGACCCCCCCCCCCCCCAAAAAAAAAAAAAAAAAACCCAAACAAACAAACCCGCAAUACUAAUUGUCAUUCUUAUAUCAGCACUCAAUUGUUCACAAACAAAUGGUUUUAAGCUGCUAAAGACAUGAUUCAAACGCCCAGAAAGUCCUUUGUUCUAUAUUUUUGCUCUCCAUUUUUAGGUAAAACCUUUUACAUUUUUGUCGAGCCUUCGACUUUAGUCGAAAAAGCGAGACUAAGCGAUCCUACAUUCCGUCGUCGUCGGCGUCGUCGUCGUCGGCGGCGUCCACAAAUAUUCACUCUGUGGUUAAAGUUUUUGAAAUUUUAAUAACUUUUUUAAACUAUACUGAAUUUCUACCAAACUUGGACUAAGCUUGUUUUAUGAUCAUAGAAAGUAUCCAGAAGUAAAUUUUGUAAAAAUAAAAUUCCAUUUUUUCCGUAUUUAACUUAUAAAAAGGACUUAGUUUUUCUGCGAGGAAACAUUACAUUCACUCUGUGGUUAAAGUUUUAAAAUUUUAAUAACUUUCAUAAACUAUCCUUGAUUUGUACCAAACUUGGACAGAAGCUUGUUUAUGAUCAUAAGAUAGUAUCAAGAAGAAAAUUUUGUAAAAAUAAAUUUCCACUUUUCCUUAUUUUACUUAUAAAUGGACUUAGUUUUUCUGCGAGGAAACAUUACAUUCACUCUGUGGUUAAAGUUUUUAAAAUUUUAAUAACUUUCAUAAACUAUCCUUGAUUUGUACCAAACUUGACAGAAGCUUGUUUAUGAUCAUAAGAUAGUAUCAAGAAGAAAAUUUUGUAAAAAUAAAUAUCCACUUUUCCUUAUUUUACUUAUAAAUGGACUUAAUUUUUUUGUCAGAAACAAAACAUUCACUCUGUGGUUUAAGUUUUUAAAAUUUGUAUAAUGGUCUUAAACUAUCCUGGAUUUCUACCAAACUUAGACAAAAGCUUGUUUCUGAUCAUAAAAUAUUAUUCAGAAGUAAAUUUUGUAAAAAAAAAUUCACUUUUUCCGUAUUUUACUUAUAAAUGGACUUAGUUUUUCUUCCAGUUAACAUUACAUACAGUCUGCAGUUAAAGUUUAUCAAACAUUUAUUAGAUUCAUAAACUAUCCUGGAUUUUUUUACCAAACUUAGAAGCUUCUUUCAAUCAAAAGACAGUAUCGAGAGGGAAAUUUUUAGUGAUGUUUUCCUCAUUUUUGUUGAGUCUGCGAUUAACAGCAAAAGUAGGCGAGACACUGGGUUCCGUGGAACCCUUAUGAAUUUUUAUUUUAUGGGUUAUUGUUGAAGGUCGUACGAUGACGUAUGGUUGUUAACACAUACUUCCUUUGGUUUCUUAUGGAAAUUUGUCCAUUGACAAUAAACAUACCACAUCAUCUACUUUAUAUAAGUAUUGUAAAAACUACAACGUAUUUUGGUGAUCUUGCAAAAUGAUCGUAAUCCCGUAAAUCGUAAACAUAUUUUCUUAUCUUAAAAGGGGACAAGAAGGGUUCCAUUAACAGGCCAAUAAAUAAGAUUACAGUUAAUUAAAAAAAAAAAAAUAAAAAAAAAAAAAUAGGGGUAUUUUUUCUCUCAUAAUAACAGUAAACAGAUUCACAACAAUGUCAAUUUCAAGAAAGCAGACAACAGCUAAUUUGUCAAUAACAGUACAGCAUCAAUGAUCUUGAAUAUAUGCCACGUUUAACUAAAAUAUAAAAGCACAGAACCAGGACAUAGGAGCACAGAACCAGGACCAUUUUUCUUAUCACCAGCACAGCGUCAGGACAAUUCCGUUUAACGAACUUGCACGACUUUUGCAAUAUAAUAUUGUUGUAAUUAUACUUUGCAUGGUACUUAUGACACAUCAGAGAAAAAUUUAGCAACAAAACAGUCGUUUUAUUGCCGUUUUGAUACAAUGUAAACAAACCCACCAGCACAGAAUCAGGACCCACCAGCACCCGUCAGGACCAAAUCACCAGCACAGUACGUUCUCUCGCAGGACAACCAUACCCACCGUGACAUAGGUCUAGAUCUGGUAUUGGUAUUUUUAUAUUAUACUUAUAUAUUUAUAAAAGUAAAAUGUCAAUGAAAAAUGCAAGUAUGAAUAUAAAAAAGAAAAUAAGAAAAUGCAAAUAUAAGAUAAGCUUACAUUAUUUUUUACUAGUUUAACUCUUCACAGAAAAUAUUCAUGAUAAACUGCAUCCAUAAUUUAAAAAAUGAGUUUUUUUUUUUAGUGUUAUGUAAUAGACAUACUAUAAGCAGGCUUGGAAUAAUGUAAACGAUGUAGAUACAUGUACACCAAAAUAUUUGCAUUCUCCCCUCUUUUAUUUUCCAUGUUAAAUUUCAUUUCAGACAUAAAUCCUAAUAUGUGAACGAUUUAGUUGACAGUUAGUUAGAUUUAGAAUACUACUUCCAAGUAAUCCAAGAAUAAACAUGGAGAACAUAAAAACAUUAACAUCUUUGAUCUUCAUUUGGACAUUGUGUUUCUCUAUGUGUGUUUGUAAUACUGGAGGAGGAGUUAACCACCAACCCAAGCACAACACAGAUAAUAGUAGUACAAAAAGUAACAAUACACCUCACGAUGACAACAACACAGAUCACCAUGGUCAUAUUCAUGGUGUAGAAAUAGCUGAAUGGAAAUUUGAUGAGUUACGAGAGCCUUUCAUUUUUACUAUUGUUGUUUUAUUAGCUGGACUCAGCAAAAUUGG
rnacentral:lncRNA from 1 species